CUCACCCUCCUCUGACUACACCCAUGGUUCCUGUCUCAAGGUCCAUCACUUGGGUUUUUCUUAAAUAUUAAAAAAAAAAAAAAAAUGGAGAUGGGAAAGAAGAUGAAAUGGCAAGAUGUUGAUGGAUCUUGGAGUUGUGUGAUGGGCCACAGUGGUUUAUUGUCUUUGUUUUUAUAUCUGUAUGGUAAUGUUCAUGAUCUAAGUUAAAACUUUUGAAAAUGACAAAGAGCUCAUUGUUCUUUAAGCACUAUUUGGAAAAUACAGGAAACUAGAAAGACAAAGAUAGCUGCCCCCACCUAAGUCCCACAUCAUUACUGUAGUUCAUAUUUUGAUGUAUUUCCAUUCAGCCUUUUAAAAAUGUGUCUAUGUUUUAUAUAACUGUGUGAGCAAAUUGUUUAUACAGUCUUGCUUUUUCCCCUCUUAAAACGUAAGCCGUUCCCCUGUUAAAACGUCUUUGUGUAAACACAAUUUCUAAUGUUUGCCUGAUGUUUACUCAAUGGGCCAGUGUUGCCAGACGUUAAAGCUGUUUCCAGUUUCCUCCCAUUGUAAAUAAUGCUGUGAGGCACUUCCUCCCGCGUCCCAGAGGUGGGAUUUCUGGGCCGAAGGGUGCGGCCCCUUUGGCAGCUCAAGGUCAGACUCUCCACCGCGUUUCUGCCUGACCCGAGGUUGAAAUGACCUCAUACGGUUAAAGUGAGCUUUCACUGCUAUUUGUUAUUUCCUAAAGGUUUAAUUCAUGACUCAGCUUCAUGAAAGGAUGUCUUUUUUCCUUUUCCAGUUGCAGGAAACAGAAAUCCAUUCACACUAGCUCACGUCAAAAGGGAGUUGUCUCGGCAAGCAAAGUUAAUAUUCAGCUUGGACAACCUAUCUUGCUUUAUCAAUUGUUGAGAUGCUAAAAAUACAUCUGCAGUGGUUGGUAAGUCAUGCUGCCUCACAGCCCAGCAAAAAGCUCCUCAUCGUGAGAUCUCUCCAACUGCCCUGGCCCCUCCCCCAGGACUUCGCAGACCUCCGCACGGGGCAGCAAGAAACGUGCCAGUAUCGGCACAGCAAUGGAGCAUUCUGAUCGCUCAGUGUCCCGAGUUUUGGCUGUUAGGCAUUCUGAUCGCUCAGUGUCCCGAGUAUUGGCUGUUAGGCAUGUUGAUUCGUCCUCGAUACAAGUAACAGAAAAGCCGACCUUAAUGGCUCAAACUGUAAGGGGAAUUUGUAAUUGGAACAUCCAUAUUUGGCUGGCUUCUCCUAAAACGGACACAUCUGUCCUCCAGUGUCACCACGGACCCCAUUUCUUUUCGUUCCUCUUCCCUCUUUCCAGCGGCAGUACCGUAGACGGCUGCCAGCAGCCUCCUGGCCACAGGUAGCCUCACCCACCCUCUGCAGGUAAGUGAGGGGACCUUUCUCGCGGAAGUAGUGAGGCUGACUCUGAUUGGCCUGAUGAGAUCGCGUGUCUGUGCCAGCGCCAAUCACUGUGGCCUGGGGAGACCCGAAUGCCCAGAUUGGCAGAGCCAAGUCACAUCUCCCUCGCUGGUCAUCAUAGAACUACAAACGCACUGAGUGGUUAACACCCGCUGCUGAAGCCACAGCAGGGGUUCACAUUACAUUUUUAGCUCAGAAGUUCAGUUUCCCUUCUUACCGUCCUCUGGGUCCUGUUUGCUAGGUGUAAAAUGGAGAUAAUGACACUCACCUCCUAGGGCUGCCGUGAGGAUUCAGAUGUCUGAAGGACAGAGGCUGCAGUUGGCUCUCAGCAGCUGAUGGCUGAGAUUCUCACCCAGGGACAAUGUCGGGGACAUUUGGAAAUGUGCAGAAUAUCUAGAGGACAGACUGUGGAUGUUGGUAAAUGUCUCUCACAGGAGACAGAUAUCAUAAGAACACAACUGAAGCCUACCCACCCCACCCCUUGCCACCCUUUACCCCAUUCUUGAAAGCUUUAUUAAAAGACAGAAUCCUAAGCCUUUGAGUGCGCCUCCUCUCUGAGUCUGAGGUUGCCUGCACUCCCCUUUCUUUGCGUGUGUACUUUUUACCUUAAAUAAAGACUUUUCACUGCUCAGCUGACUGCAUUUUGUUUGCCCUCUUCCAGUGGU